GCCCUCGUAAGCUAAUGGAUAAACUGUCUCGCUUCUAUCGAGAUCUUGGAAGUUCGAAUCUUCCCGAGGGCA
rnacentral:tRNA from 1 species